GAUGAACGCUGGCGGCGUGCCUAAUACAUGCAAGUCGAGCGAACAGACGAGGAGCUUGCUCCUCUGACGUUAGCGGCGGACGGGUGAGUAACACGUGGAUAACCUACCUAUAAGACUGGGAUAAUUUCGGGAAACCGGAGCUAAUACCGGAUAAUAUAUUGAACCGCAUGGUUCAAUAGUGAAAGACGGUUUUGCUGUCACUUAUAGAUGGAUCCGCGCCGCAUUAGCUAGUUGGUAAGGUAACGGCUUACCAAGGCAACGAUGCGUAGCCGACCUGAGAGGGUGAUCGGCCACACUGGAACUGAGACACGGUCCAGACUCCUACGGGAGGCAGCAGUAGGGAAUCUUCCGCAAUGGGCGAAAGCCUGACGGGGCAACGCCGCGUGAGUGAUGAAGGUCUUCGGAUCGUAAAACUCUGUUAUUAGGGAAGAACAAAUGUGUAAGUAACUAUGCACGUCUUGACGGUACCUAAUCAGAAAGCCACGGCUAACUACGUG
rnacentral:rRNA from 1 species